GACGUAGGGCGCGAGCGUUGUCCGGAUUUAUUGGGCGUAAAGAGCUCGUAGGCGGCUUGUCGCGUCGACUAUGAAAACUUGGGGCUCAACCCCAAGCUUGCAGUCGAUACGGGCAGGCUAGAGUUCGGUAGGGGAGACUGGAAUUCCUGGUGUAGCGGUGAAAUGCGCAGAUAUCAGGAGGAACACCGAUGGCGAAGGCAGGUCUCUGGGCCGAUACUGACGCUGAGGAGCGAAAGCGUGGGGAGCGAACAGG
rnacentral:rRNA from 1 species